rnacentral:lncRNA from 1 species
AUGCCCUGCAGGCCUGGGCCAGCUCCAGGCUGCAAUGCGGCAGGUGAGGGAGGUAGGGCAAUGCCUCGAAGGGCAAGGCCGAGGCCUGACUCCAUCUCAUCCCCUCAGGUGCAAGAGAGUCGGGCCUAUCGCUCAGGACUGGAGCUGCCCGCUGUGUUGCUGGAGAUGGAGUGGAGCCGGCGGGCCCAAGAGCAGCUCCUGUGGGACUUGGAGCUGCUGACCGGGGCAGGGCUGAGGCUCUUCUGGCCCCCCUGGGCCCAGUGCUGCGGUCUGAGGGACCAGGCCCAGUGUGCAUGGAGCCAGUGCAGCCAGCCCCUCGGUAGGACGGGCGGGGGCCCUGAGCAGCUGACCAGCUGGAGUUCCAGGCUGUGCCCAUUGGCCCGGGCUGGGGACCUCUCUGAGCCAGAACCGUCAGCUUCCAGAAGGGGGGCAGGCUGUAGACCCAUCAUCAGCCCCGGAUCUGGAAGAUACCACGAGUGA